AGUAUAAAUGGAGCAGGUAUCAGGCACAUAAACUAGCCCAAGACACCAAGCUAUGCCACACCCACACGGGCCCUCAGCAGUGAUAAACAUUAAGCAAUAAGCGAACACAAACUUCAAAGCUUGACUUAGUUAUGGUUAACAGGGCCGGUAAACCUCGUGCCAGCCACCGCGGUUAUACGAGGGGCCCGAAGCAGCAGACCUCGGCGUAAAUAGUGACUAGAAUGAUUACCUACACAUUAAAAACUAAACCCUAGCCUAACCGUAAAACACAGGCUAGGUGAAACCAAACAUUUUUAACAACAGGUAAUUUGACCCACGAAAACUAAGAAACAAACUAGGAUUAGAUACCCUACUAUGCUUAGUCGUUAAUAUGAUAUUGUACCACUAAAAUAUCCGCCAGAAAACUACGAGCGAAAAGCUUAAAACUCAAAGGACUUGGCGGUGCUCCAUACCGACUUAGAGGAGCCUGUCCUAUAAUCGAUACCCCACGCUAAACCUCACCAAUCUUUGCCAAAUCAGCCUAUAUACCGCCGUCGACAGCCUACCUCGUGAGAGAAAAACAGUAAGUAUAAAAGUUCAACAACUAAAACGUCAGGUCAAGGUGUAGCUAAUAGAAUGGAAGAGAUGGGCUACAUUUUUUAAGAUAAAACACACGGCAUGGUACUAUGAAACUUCUACCUGAAGGAGGAUUUAAUAGUAAAACUAACAAGAAAGUUAAUUUUAAAU
rnacentral:rRNA from 1 species